UACGGGGGGGGCAAGCGUUGUUCGGAAUUACUGGGCGUAAAGGGCGCGUAGGCGGCCUACUAAGUCGGACGUGAAAUCCCCGGGCUCAACCCGGGAACUGCGUCCGAUACUGGCAGGCUUGAAUUCGGGAGAGGGAUGUGGAAUUCCAGGUGUAGCGGUGAAAUGCGUAGAUAUCUGGAGGAACACCGGUGGCGAAGGCGGCAUCCUGGACCGAUAUUGACGCUGAUGCGCGAAAGCCAGGGGAGCAAAACGGGGAUUAGAGUA
rnacentral:rRNA from 1 species